rnacentral:rRNA from 1 species
AUUGAACGCUGGCGGCAGGCCUAACACAUGCAAGUCGAACGGUAACAGGAAGAAGCUUGCUUCUUUGCUGACGAGUGGCGGACGGGUGAGUAAUGUCUGGGAAACUGCCUGAUGGAGGGGGAUAACUACUGGAAACGGUAGCUAAUACCGCAUAACGUCGCAAGACCAAAGAGGGGGACCUUCGGGCCUCUUGCCAUCGGAUGUGCCCAGAUGGGAUUAGCUAGUAGGUGGGGUAACGGCUCACCUAGGCGACGAUCCCUAGCUGGUCUGAGAGGAUGACCAGCCACACUGGAACUGAGACACGGUCCCGACUCCUACGGGAGGCAGCAGUGGGGAAUAUUGCACAAUGGGCGCAAUCCUGAUUCAGCCAUGCCGCGUGUAUGAAGAAGGCCUUCGGGUUGUAAAGUACUUUCAGCGGGGAGGAAGGGAGUAAAGUUAAUACCUUUUCUCAUUGACGUUACCCGCAGAAGAAGCACCGGCUAACUCCGUG